rnacentral:rRNA from 1 species
AUUGAACGCUGGCGGCAUGCCUUACACAUGCAAGUCGAACGGUAACAGAUCUUCGGAUGCUGACGAGUGGCGAACGGGUGAGUAAUACAUCGGAACGUGCCCAGUAGUGGGGGAUAGCCCGGCGAAAGCCGGAUUAAUACCGCAUACGACCUACGGGUGAAAGGGGGGGAUCGCAAGACCUCUCGCUAUUGGAGCGGCCGAUAUCAGAUUAGGUAGUUGGUGGGGUAAAGGCCUACCAAGCCUGCGAUCUGUAGUUGGUCUGAGAGGACGACCAGCCACACUGGGACUGAGACACGGCCCAGACUCCUACGGGAGGCAGCAGUGGGGAAUUUUGGACAAUGGGCGCAAGCCUGAUCCAGCAAUGCCGCGUGCAGGAAGAAGGCCUUCGGGUUGUAAACUGCUUUUGUCAGGGAAGAAAUCCUCUAGGCUAAUACCUUGGGGGGAUGACGGUACCUGAAGAAUAAGCACCGGCUAACUACGUGCCAGCAGCCGCCGUAACAC